ACCAUGCACCGAAGCUGCGGCAGCGACACUUUAGUGUUGUUGGGUAGGGGAGCGUUCUGUAAGCCGUUGAAGGUGUCCUGUGAGGGGUGCUGGAGGUAUCAGAAGUGCGAAUGCUGACAUAAGUAACGAUAAAGCGGGUGAAAAGCCCGCUCGCCGGAAGACCAAGGGUUCCUGUCCAACGUUAAUCGGGGCAGGGUGAGUCGACCCCUAAGGCGAGGCCGAAAGGCGUAGUCGAUGGGAAACGGGUUAAUAUUCCCGUACUUGGUGUUACUGCGAAGGGGGGACGGAGAAGGCUAUGUUGGCCGGGCGACGGUUGUCCCGGUUUAAGCGUGUAGGUGUGUGUUCCAGGUAAAUCCGGUUCACUUUAACACUGAGGCGUGAUGACGAGGCACCACGGUGCUGAAGCAACAAAUGCCCUGCUUCCAGGAAAAGCCUCUAAGCAUCAGGUAACAUCAAAUCGUACCCCAAACCGACACAGGUGGUCAGGUAGAGAAUACCAAGGCGCUUGAGAGAACUCGGGUGAAGGAACUAGGCAAAAUGGUGCCGUAACUUCGGGAGAAGGCACGCUGACACGUAGGUGAAGUGAUUUACUCAUGGAGCUGAAGUCAGUCGAAGAUACCAGCUGGCUGCAACUGUUUAUUAAAAACACAGCACUGUGCAAACACGAAAGUGGACGUAUACGGUGUGACGCCUGCCCGGUGCCGGAAGGUUAAUUGAUGGGGUCAGCGCAAGCGAAGCUCCUGAUCGAAGCCCCGGUAAACGGCGGCCGUAACUAUAACGGUCCUAAGGUAGCGAAAUUCCUUGUCGGGUAAGUUCCGACCUGCACGAAUGGCGUAAUGAUGGCCAGGCUGUCUCCACCCGAGACUCAGUGAAAUUGAACUCGCUGUGAAGAUGCAGUGUACCCGCGGCAAGACGGAAAGACCCCGUGAACCUUUACUAUAGCUUGACACUGAACAUUGAGCCUUGAUGUGUAGGAUAGGUGGGAGGCUUUGAAGCGUGGACGCCAGUCUGCGUGGAGCCGACCUUGAAAUACCACCCUUUAAUGUUUGAUGUUCUAACGUGGACCCGUAAUCCGGGUUGCGGACAGUGUCUGGUGGGUAGUUUGACUGGGGCGGUCUCCUCCUAAAGAGUAACGGAGGAGCACGAAGGUUGGCUAAUCCUGGUCGGACAUCAGGAGGUUAGUGCAAUGGCAUAAGCCAGCUUGACUGCGAGCGUGACGGCGCGAGCAGGUGCGAAAGCAGGUCAUAGUGAUCCGGUGGUUCUGAAUGGAAGGGCCAUCGCUCAACGGAUAAAAGGUACUCCGGGGAUAACAGGCUGAUACCGCCCAAGAGUUCAUAUCGACGGCGGUGUUUGGCACCUCGAUGUCGGCUCAUCACAUCCUGGGGCUGAAGUAGGUCCCAAGGGUAUGGCUGUUCGCCAUUUAAAGUGGUACGCGAGCUGGGUUUAGAACGUCGUGAGACAGUUCGGUCCCUAUCUGCCGUGGGCGCUGGAAGACUGAGGGGGGCUGCUCCUAGUACGAGAGGACCGGAGUGGACGCAUCACUGGUGUUCGGGUUGUCAUGCCAAUGGCACUGCCCGGUAGCUAAAUGCGGAAAAGAUAAGUGCUGAAAGCAUCUAAGCACGAAACUUGCCCCGAGAUGAGUCUUCCCUGAGACCUUGAGUCUCCUGAAGGAACGUUAAAGACGAUGACGUUGAUAGGCCGGGUGUGUAAGCGCAGCGAUGCGUUGAGCUAACCGGUACUAAUGAACCGUGAGGCUUAACCUUACAACGCCGAAG
rnacentral:rRNA from 1 species